GUAGUAUUCCUUCCGUCCCAAAAUUCUUGUCUUACAUUUUUUUAGAUACGGAUGUAUCUAACACUAAAAUGUAACUAGAUACAUCCGUAUUUAGAAAAAUUUAAGACAAGAAUUUUGGGACGGAGGGAGUACAAA
rnacentral:pre_miRNA from 1 species